rnacentral:misc_RNA from 1 species
CUUCAGUUAGUAAACCGCUUCGUUUAGUUCCACACUCACCUUCAACUACUAAUCGUGCAAAUCGUGUUGUCGUGCUCGUGUUACGUGUGUUCUGUACGUGAUUUUGAUCGAUUUAUUAUCGAUAAUUUGCUAUCGAUUAAUCAAUUAUCGACAUAAUGGAGACGAGCGUGAUUGCCAGACAAGCGUACCAUGAAUCAACAGCCCCUGUUCGGGGAGCCGGGCCGGCCGCCAACGAGAUGAGGGUGGUGCAGACCCAAGGUCAGAAGUUGCAGGACAAGGUCAACGUGUUGGGUCAAGGUCAAGUGGAGACUCAAGGUCACCGCAUUGUCAAGAUCAGCAACAAGGACGGUGAGAGGGUUCUGCAGUUCUUGCGGAAAUUCUUCUUCAUGGACGAGCCUCUGAAUAUCGCCGUCGGUCUCCUCGAUGAACCGGGAUCAACUUGUUCAGAGCUUGAACAGUACUGUAUUGACUCUAUUCCUGAUGGAGUCUCGUUCAUGGCGGUGAACUCCCGCGGAGAGGUGAUCGGCAUCUGCCUGAACGGCGUGGAUGUGCGAGGCAAGAGUGAGGACGAGGACAGCAAGAACUUCGAGUGCACCAACCCCCGCUUCGGCAAGAUCCUCGGUCUCUUGCAGGACGUCGGCAAGCAGUCGGAUGUCUUCGGCCAGUUCCCCGAUGUUGACCGAAUGCUGGAAGUGCGCAUUAUCUCGGUGGAUGAUGCUUACAGAGGGCAGGGCAUUGCUAAGGCUCUCAUCGAGAAAACCAGACUGGAAGGCGAGAAAAUGGGGAUUCCUCUGAUGCGGGUGGACUGCACCAGCGCUUUCUCAGCGAAAGCAGUCGCGCGACUCGGCUUCCAUUGUGUCUACACACUCCAGUACGCCGACUACCUUGACAAGCAAGGUCAGCGUGUGUUCGACCCACCCUCUCCACACACCUGCUGCAAGACCUUCGUUCGUCAUCUCAACUAGGACAAACCAGCCUGCAACACAAUGACAGUUUCAAGUUUGGGACGAAUACUAUUUGUGGCUAGUUUUCUGCGUAAAUCUGAGAAAAAUUGUCAAGGUUUGAAUUCUCUGACUGCCCAAAUUGUUCUGCUCACAUCGUUAUCUUAACAGAAGCAAGCAAAUUUACAAUGGAAGAGUAGGCCAAUUAAUCCGAUUUGUGGCUGGUUUUGUGUGUAUAGAUGUGAAACUAACCAACAAAAUCAGAUUAUCACUGAUUCCCCAAAUUGAACUAAAACAAACAAAUUUGUAAGACUAUAGCCAUUUUCAUAUGUGGUAGGCUUUGUGUACAAAUCUGGAAAUACUAUCCACCAAAAUAUGAGUAUUAGAUAGUAUGUUUACGUGCCAAAUUGUAUUGUUACAAUCAAACUUCAACUGGCCUGAGUGAAAUCGUUAAAUAUGUUGACUAUAUUUCAAUAUUGUGUUGUGAAACUAUCAUAGUUUUUGUUGACAGAAAUUCUUAUUAAAGUAUAAAUUGAGUGUUACAUAAAUUUCGUUACAUAUUUAAUAGGAAAAAUUGUUAUUUUUAUUCUUAAGGUCAAGAAUGAGAAACUUGUCAUGAUCUAUAAGUAUAGCCAGAGACUUGGAUUUUAGUGUAGACUUACAUAAAUAGAAAACACUUAAAAUUUGUUGUGUUCAUCAAGAAUCAGUAUAUCAUAAGUUUGAAAUUAUAAUUGAUGAUCUGAUUAUGGAGUUUAUAAUCGUUAUGAUAAUACAAAGAAUUAUUGCACUAUAACAAUAACAAAAAAUCUAACAGUAAUAGAGACCCUUAUGAACAUUUUAUACCGUAUCUAAUAAAAUAAAUAAAGAUACAUCUGACUUAUAAGUGGCUUCAACGGAAUCAAUACGGGAAUAUUGAAAUUUAUUAUAAUGGAAUAUUGAAAGGUGGGGUGAUGUAUAAUUUUCAUUAAAAAAAUUAAUAAAUUCCCUUCUAUGAGAGAUUUGAGAGUUUUCAAAAGUCUAUAGGCCAAUUCAUUGAUAUUGCUCUUGUACAACCUAGGUAGUCUGUUAAUACAUUGGGUGGGUUUUAUCAUUCAUCAUAACAUUCAAUGAGGAAACGCUGUAUCUUUACAAUAGAAUAUUCAUAUGAGAUGCAUCAGAAUACUCACUUGACUCAAUCAUUUUCCAAGUUGUCGUAAAAGCAAUCUUAGUUUGUUGCUCUAGGAUUUAUCAAGUAGGCUACCUGAUAAGAUGGAUGUUGUUUCUACACUUUCACAGCUCUAUGGAGGAAAAUCUUAUUUUAUAAGUAUUAAAAACUGUAAAGUUAAAAUCAUAUCUUUUGAAUUCAUAACGGGUAUAGAGGGACUUUAUGCCUGUAUUUGAAGUUCUACUAUCCUAUGCCUUUUUCCAUAAGAAGUCUCUCAUUGUUUUGAGAUAGCCACAUUCUCAUCAUCUUUUUGUCAUGUGAUAUAAUGAUAAACUGUUGAAACAUUAAGUUUGAAGCUUGUAUAGCUUUAUAGGAGUUAGAGUAUUUAGACUAAAAAUAUUUUAGAGCAGGUUCCAUCUUAAUUUCUCUUUGUCAUCUUAUUUUUGAUCUUAGCCUCUACUGAUACAGGUUGAAAAUAAUCUCAAGUAUUCCCACCGAUCUUUGAUAGCAAAAUCUUGAAGCUUGUUUGUUCUGAUUAUGACUUCUCUUCCACAGCUUCUAGAAUUAUUUUCCCAAGUUCAUAGAUCGGCUAAUCAUGAGAUCAAUUUUAUAGCUUUGAUAUUUGAUUGUGAAUGCAUGUCAAUUAUUGUAUGUUGAGUAUUGAAAAUUUAUCAUGGGACCUGUUAUUCACUUUUCUAAACUUUAUAAUAAUGAUAAUUGAUACAUUCGAAUUAAACUUAUACUAACUACUUCUAUGUUACAAAUAAUUAUGUUUGCCAGAUAGUUUUUAUACAAAAUCAUUGCUUAGUAAUAAGAGAAACAUAAUAUAAUGUAAGCUUCGAUGAAUAAUAUUUGGGAAUACAAUUGCUUUUCUAUUGAUUCCAUUUUUUCAGACUAAUCUAUUGUUGUAUUGAUUGUAGAAACUUCUAAAAUAGUUGAUCAAGAAUAGUAUUUUUAAAAAUUCAUUGUACCUUUAUUUUUAAUGCAAUCACUUGUUGUAGUUGGCCAAAAAUUAUAGUUCAAAAUUUCAUUGAGUUGUUCCUUCAAAUCUUCAAGAACAUAAAAACCUUUUUAUUGAGACUCAGGAAACUUUAAAAAGUGCAGAAAACUUAAAAUUGAAAUUUUUUUGAAAGCAAUUGAAAUUUUUGUUGGUAGGGCAAGGAAAGUAGAAACCAACAUGAUAAUUACCGUAACGUGUACUGAGAUAACCAUAAAAUAAUUAUUUGGGCACUAUUACUUGAUAAUGCGAUGGAAACACAAAACCUGUCAUGUCUUCUAGGAAAAUGAAAACGGUACUAUAGUGAUAAAUGUUGAUGUUCAAAAUAUCGUAGAAAAAUAUAAUUAUUGUACUACGGUUAGAAUGAAUGAUGCUAUAAUGUGUCAUUAUUUACUUCUCAGAGACUAAUUUCAUAUUUUCAAUUCUUUCAAUAUAUUUCAGUAAAUUUUCUUACUCUUUCAAAUCUAUGUAAUAACAAAGAAGUACCUGCCUGCAUGUAAAUCUGUAAAUAUGUUUGAUAAUAUAAGUAAUGCUUCUUCCUCCAAUGACAUGAUAAAAUUCCAUUUAAAAAAAAUAAGUGUCAUAAUAUUUUGCCAGGAGCUGAUCCUGAAGAUAAGCUUCUACUGUUAUUUUUAAUAAUGUUGUUCAGAAUGAUAGAUUUAUAAACUUCAAAUGAGUGGGAAAUCGAUCAAGUUUUAAAAAAGCAUUCUGAGCUGAAAAGAUUACGAUCAAAAGCAUUUCGUUUUAGUCAAAUUAUGAUUAUUUUCUAUUAGAAAAUUAUUAUUCAUAUUUAUGAGAAUGUUGAGCAUGUUGCUGCUCAGAAUGAUUACAAUGAAAGCAAUGAGACUGAUGUUGAUGAUGAAGAUUAUAAUGAAAGAUUUAUGUGUAUAUUCAUUCAUUUUCAUAGAUUAGUUUAAUGAUUUAAAUAAUGUUGAUGAUAAUAAAACUUCUGUGAUAUAUAAACU